UGUGACACAAACAUCAGUUUGAAAGCCUUAGUUUCCUGAUAUCAACAAAGUCCUGCCUCUGCUGGCAGGAAGUCACUUACCUUCAUGUGAUUUUACUUGUGUGCUGUACCAGUGACCCAGAUCACCUCAGAUAGAAGAGCAAAGCACUUGGCCACCUCCCUGUCAAGGAAACCUGAGUAGGGCUGAAUUUAUAAGUCCACCCACAAGAUGGAAAGCAAACUCUGCUAUGUCUAACUCCAAGGAGUCAGCACAGUAUUUCACUGCUCAUUGCAAUUACAAGAUACUGUGUUCCUCUGCAAAAGUGUUGGACUGACACCUUGAAAUAGGGCAGGUGUCAGGGCAGAUUUGGUCCCACAAUUUGGAAGAAGAUAUGUACAGUGGCUUGACAGUGUAUCAGCACAACCUCUGGUGAGGACACGGACACAAGAGUUUAGGAGAAACUUGCUGGCCAGGAAGAGCUGUGGGAAUUCACUACCAGGUCUGAUUAAAGCCCAGGGAG